GAAGGGGGCUAGCGUUGUUCGGAAUUACUGGGCGUAAAGGGCGCGUAGGCGGCCUUGUUAGUCGAGUGUGAAAGCCCUGGGCUUAACCCGGGAAGCGCGCUUGAUACUGCAGGGCUUGAGUGUGGGAGAGGUUGGUGGAAUUCCCAGUGUAGAGGUGAAAUUCGUAGAUAUUGGGAAGAACACCGGUGGCGAAGGCGACCAACUGGACCACAACUGACGCUGAGGCGCGAAAGCGUGGGGAGCAAACAGGAUUAGAUACCCUGGUAGUCCACGCCGUAAACGAUGUGCGCUAGACGCUGGAAGACCUAGUCUUUCGGUGUCGCAGCUAACGCUUUAAGCGCACCGCCUGGGGAGUACGGCCGCAAGGUUAAA
rnacentral:rRNA from 1 species